AUUGAACGCUGGCGGCAGGCCUAACACAUGCAAGUCGAGCGAGCGGCGGACGGGUGAGUAAUGUCUGGGAAACUGCCUGAUGGAGGGGGAUAACUACUGGAAACGGUAGCUAAUACCGCAUACCAUCAGAUGUGCCCAGAUGGGAUUAGCUAGUAGGUGGGGUAAUGGCUCACCUAGGCGACGAUCCCUCGCUGGUCUGAGAGGAGGACCAGCCACACGGGAACUGAGACACGGUCCAGACGCCUACGGGAGGCAGCAGUGGGGAAUAGUGCACAAGGGGCGGAAGCCGGAUGCAGGCAGGGCGCGUGUGUGAAGAAGGCCUUCGGGUUGUAAAGCACUUUCAGCGGGGAGGCGGGAGGCGAAGAAGAAGCACCGGCUAACUCCGUGCCAGCAGCCGCGGUAAGUG
rnacentral:rRNA from 1 species